rnacentral:rRNA from 1 species
AGGGAAUCUUCCGCAAUGGACGAAAGUCUGACGGAGCAACGCCGCGUGAGUGAUGAAGGUUUUCGGAUCGUAAAGCUCUGUUGCCAGGGAAGAACGUCCUGUAGAGUAACUGCUACAGGAGUGACAGUACCUGAGAAGAAAGCCCCGGCUAACUACGUGCCAGCAGCCGCGGUAAUACGUAGGGGGCAAGCGUUGUCCGGAAUUAUUGGGCGUAAAGCGCGCGCAGGCGGCUGUUUAAGUCUGGUGGUUAAUCCUGGGGCUCAACCCCGGGUCGCACUGGAAACUGGACGGCAUGAGUGCAGAAGAGGAGAGUGGAAUUCCACGUGUAGCGGUGAAAUGCGUAGAGAUGUGGAGGAACACCAGUGGCGAAGGCGACUCUCUGGGCUGUAACUGACGCUGAGGCGCGAAAGCGUGGGGAGCAAAC